rnacentral:rRNA from 1 species
GAUGAACGCUGGCGGCGUGCCUAAUACAUGCAAGUCGAGCGAACAGAUGAGGAGCUUGCUCCUUUGACGUUAGCGGCGGACGGGUGAGUAACACGUAGGUAACCUACCUAUAAGACUGGGAUAACUUCGGGAAACCGGAGCUAAUACCGGAUAAUAUUUCGAACUGCAUGGUUCGAUAGUGAAAGAUGGCUUUGCUAUCACUUAUAGAUGGACCUGCGCCGUAUUAGCUAGUUGGUAAGGUAACGGCUUACCAAGGCAACGAUACGUAGCCGACCUGAGAGGGUGAUCGGCCACACUGGAACUGAGACACGGUCCAGACUCCUACGGGAGGCAGCAGUAGGGAAUCUUCCGCAAUGGGCGAAAGCCUGACGGAGCAACGCCGCGUGAGUGAUGAAGGUCUUCGGAUCGUAAAACUCUGUUAUUAGGGAAGAACAAACGUGUAAGUAACUGUGCACGUCUUGACGGUACCUAAUCAGAAAGCCACGGCUAACUACGUG